UUGCUGCUUUUUGUAUCAUUUUCCAGAAAAAUGAGUCAACAACCAACUAGGAAACAGUACUAGUCAACUCUUAAUUAUAAAUUAACAAAAACUAGUGACAACAAAGCAACACAGUCUGAGUAUAGUACAGACAAAAGGAAUAUGGGGCUUGUAAUUCGGCUGAGGCCUCACUAGAACUAUAUGAAUCUCCUCCUCUACUUCACUUCCUUUGCCUUCGGUUUGAAUCUCAGUGGGUCAUGAUUCUUUUUCCUGUAUGAUGAGGGAUCUGAACCCCUUGUGGCCCUCCUGAAUUAGGUUGCAGUAUAAUUUCAUUGACAUUUUCUUUCUAUUCCCAAAUAUAGCAAUAACUACACUUUCCUUCAAGGGAAACAAGAAAACACAGUAACACAUUAACAACAGUAAUGAUCUUUUUGUUUCCCUGAUUAUCUAGGGCAUGAAAAAUCCAAACUCAUCAGGUACAGCCUUAGUUUAUAAAUAAAUGCAACAUUAUUGUGACUCUUGGUAAAGAAUUCCCCUUCUCUUGGUGCUAUGCUAUCAGAGUUGAAAAUCAAAAGGACACAAAGCAAACAAUUAGAAAGUGUCAGUAAAUGUAAUUGCAAAGCCUUGUAUACCAUUUUCCAACCCUAGGAUUCUAGGCCCAUAUAUUUUAGCUAAGGGGGUAACAGAACUCCAUGUGAUAGUCACUUGUUCAGAACAUAAACCAUAUUCUGCAGGACAGCACUUUAAAUUUGCAAGCUGUUAACUCUGGAUGAAGCUCAUCUGAGUUUUCAAUGACAAGUAAUGAAGUAUGAAAUAAUACCAACGAAUCUCUUGAACAUUAGGUCAUUGCCUUGUUUCUUUAUAAAGUUAUUGCCUUGUUUCUUUAUAAAGUUAUUUCCUUUAAACUGAAGCAAUUUUGUGUGGGAUAUCCUGCCCUUGCAUAAGGUAGACAAUCUAUAGACAGAGCAAGGACAGAGAAAAAUGAUCAACAAAAGCAAAAAAAAAAAAAAAAUCUAGAAUAUUUAUUGUAAGAAGGAAAGAUUUCUGCUCCUCACUCUUUAUUCCCUAAAAGAUGGCAGCAGCCCACUCUAGACAACCCGACACCAAAUAGUUCCUUGGUUCUUCUAGAUAUAAUGCUUAUAAGGAGCUUAUGAUGCUCUGCUGCUAUUAGAAAACGGAGUAUUCAUCAAGACCGUAGCCAUGUUACCACUGGGAAGAACUCCAUGUUGUUGAAACCAUGAAUAACCUUCAUUCCUUCCAUGAUGAACAUGUGGUUCUUGAGUCCACUAGAAUUUCCUGAGAAAGAAGAGUGACCUAUGUCUACUUAGUGGGUCACCUUAUUCACAAUAGAGGCUUUGUGGUGAAUACUUAACUUCCCAAAAAAUAUAUUCACAUUCUGGGCUCACUAUGAAGGAUCAUACCCCUUUCAGCAUACCGUUUCCCCAGACUUCUUCCAUGUGCUCCAAGUCCACUGUUUUCAAGUGCCUGACUGUCUACCCAGUACAUUAACAGCUGACUUGGUGUAGGUUCCCGUUCUAGUUAUUGUUGUUGCAUAAAAAAAAUUAACCCACAGCUUUGUGUUCCAAAACCAUUAUUUAUUCUAAUCAUGGAUUCUGUAGGUAAGGAAUUGGAGUGGGAGACAGUUUGUCUUUGCUCUAUGUCUGUGAUCUCAGCUAGGAAGUCUUGAAGCCUGGAGAUGACUCAAUGAUUGCGGGCUGGAAGCACCUGAAAAUUUGUUGAUUCACAUAUCUGGUACCUAAACUGGUCUGACUCAAAGACUAGGACUGGUGACUGGGCCCCUACACAUUGGCAAACACACAGCAUGACAACUACAGGGUAGUAGGAUUUCAUUCCAGGUGACCAAAGGAAAUAAAUGAAUUACUGUUUCACCUUUCCAUACUAGGAUCAGGCAAAUCUAAAUUCCAUCACUAAAAUGAUUAGGAUCUAAAAUUUCUUCAGCUUCAACAAGGCCAGAUAAAAACCCCAAAUUCUGCCCAAUUCACAGAAGCUCUGUGCUAUAACUGGCUACUGGUAACAAUUUCUGUUUCAAUCAGGGUCUUCGUUGCACAACAAAAUAGACUCUUGCUUUACUAACCAGAAAAGAACUACAUUGAAAGAAUAUAGGUUGGCUCAGAUAGUCCAUAAGAAGGCUAAAAGUACCUCUCCCAGGACAUGAACCUUAGAGAGUGGGAAGAGAAAAUGUAUCUAAACUUAUAUCUCCAUAACAGCUUGAUAGGACUUUGUCACUAGCAGUGUCACCAGUAGGUCCUCACUGUUGCUGCUGGCAUGAACAUCUAGCACUACUAUGACUACUUGACCUAGUCAAGUUCUGUUGCCUCCAGAACAACCUCUAACUAUCCCAAUUCCAUCAUUUACUACAGAGCUAACAUUCCUGCAUAGAGUAGCCUGUUGGCUAAACCUGAGACAUGCCUGCAUCUUAAUUCAUGGGGUGAGAAAAGGGGCUGAAUGUUCUUUCCAGUUCCCUAGAGGGAAGUGGGGUUUUGCUUCACCACAUUUACACAACAGAAUUCCUCCUAAGUAGAAAAGGGGCUUAGAUUAUAUGUAGACAAAAAAUAAAGCAAAUACCCAUUGAAUAUACUUAAUCUGAUUAUUUAAUAAUUAAAAUGAUUGAAUAAGUGAAUUAAGAGUGAGUUAGUUCGAUUGCUUUAACUUUUUUCAUUUAUAAAAUAAGAGUUUUACCUGUGAUCUCUGAUUUUAUUAUAACUUUAAACUCUCUUUCAAAAUUAUUGUCAGCUGGGCAUGGUGGCUCAUGCCUAAAAUCCCAGAAUUUUGGAAGGCUGAGGUGAGAGGAUCACUUGAGGCCAGGAGUUCAAGACCAACCUGGUCAACAGGGAGACUCUGUUUCUACAAUAAAUAAAUGAAUAAAUUAAUAAAAAUUUAAAAAUUAGCUAAGCAUGUAGUGCAUGGCUGUGGUCCUAUCUACUCAAGAGGUUGAUGUGGGAGGAUCACUUGAGCCUGGGCAGUCAAGGCUCCAGUGAGCCAUUAUUGUUCCAUUGCAUUCCAUCCUAGGCAACAGAGCAAGACUAUCUUUAAAAAAAAGGGAAAAAAAUUACUGUCAGUAUUAUUUGCAGAGGCUCAUCCACAUGGUGGAGCCAUAUGCCCAGGACUUAGCAGUACCCACUGCACAAAUUUCAUGAAACUCCUAAUUAAUCAAGUAGGCUAGUUUUGAAGUUCCAAUGGCUUGUUUUAUGUGUGUAUAUAAAACAGGGACAAUUAAAGAUUAUUGAACAAAGUUGGUUAAAUGUAGUGGGGCUCCAUCUAAUUUUCCUUUGUGUGAGCAGAAAUGUGAGAAUUUUUUUGACAUUAUCUAAUUUUGCUUUCUGAACUACAACACAGCUGGAUUGUCUAGAGAUAGCAUAUAAACUAGCAGACAGAAAACUCAGGAAACACCUUUCCCAAGGAUGUAGGUUCUGGUACAGAAAUCCUUCCAUGAGAGACUAGGUUCCAAGAUUCUCUAUGAGGAAAUUUGAGAACUUUAAUUCACCUCCUCUGAGUCAUUCCUUCAGCAACCUAGAUCUCAACUGUGAGAAUGAUUCAACCUUUUUAAGCCAAUACAGAAUCUUUUCUCUCUCCUUCAGGAAAGAUUGCAAAUAUUCUUGGAGGAAAAGGGGAUGACACUCCAGAACUGGCUGGCUUUCCUCUUCACAGUGGAUCUGUGAUGGUUCCCAAGGAAAAUGCCUUCAGGGAAUCUCCCUGCCUUCAUCUUUUGGCAGCCAAUGCCAAACCAAGCUCAGAUCUUCAGAGAAGAUUUCACUUAUGGUGGCUCUCACAUUAGGGCAUCUGCUUAACUUUGGAAUAAAGAUGUUCAUUGAUCCUGGUUUAUUGGACUUUAAUCCAGUACUACUGAAUUGAAGCACACUGUGAACUACAAACAUAUUUUCAUUCACCAUGGCAGAUGCUCUUUGAAACUUGCAUUGUGAGGACAGAAGUUCAAUUAAUGUGUUUCCCACUUGUUCUGCAGACAGAUAGAGGCCAAAUGACAAAAUGGAAAUAUCUUCAACUAAAUGUCAAGAAAAAAACUAGUGUUCUAGAGUCGUCUUUGCCACUUAAAAUAGCCUUGUGACUAUAAGUGUGUCAUCCAACAUCCUGGAGGUUCAGAAAUGGAAUGGAAAUAUAUUUUGUAAUUGGCAUAGCAUAAUGAAAGAAAUAACCUCCAACACAUAAAUGUCUGUAGAAUCCUGUGGCUUUGUCACUCCUACUUAGGUGACCACUGAACCAUCUGUUUCAAUUUUCUCUUUCACUUAUUUAAUAUACAUUUAGUGGUUAGCAUAAACAGACACUAUUUGAGAAUUAAAAAAUGAAAUAAGUGGUUGUUAUCUAGAGAAAUGCAGCAUUUAAUGUGAAAAGCAAGCAUCCAAACCUUGCAUGAUACGGUCAAUAGAAGCCUUUCUCAAAUUUUUAUAUGUAUAGGAACCAUCUGAGGAAUUCCUUAAAAUUGUGGUUCACUGCAUCUGGAGUGGGACCUGGGAUUCUUCAUUUUACACAAGCUGCCAGGCUAUGAAUACUGCUGAUCAAUGAAGCACAGUUUGAGAAGUGAGUGUAAUAACAUAUAAACAGAGAUAUGCUACCAGAGCACAGAAAAAAAGAAACUAACUCAACUAUAAGAUCUAAAGAGGAGUUGAGAUGGAGUUGAAGGAUUAGUAACAGAAGAUGCAAAGCAAGGCAAUUAAAUGUCUUUGAGUAGAGGCACUAUUUUAUACAGAACACAGCGGUGUGAAUUGCCAUGGUGUGGGUGUAGAAAAAUUAUACCACAUUGGGAAGUCAUGUGCAGGGAGACCAGUUUCCAGGAAAAGCAACAGUUCACUUGGGAGGUAAUGAAGGCCUGAAUUACUUUAGUGUAUUCAUGUGACUAUUCGUAACUGAGUUUUCUAAGAGGUAUAGUGGAUAGGGCCUAACAAAGGGGGAAACAGGGAGGAUAAAAAGGAAAAGGAAGUACACUUCUCCCAAUAUAUUUAUGAGGUAAAAAGUGACAAGACCAUGGCCAUAUUCAGUGGCUUGUGUGUGUAAUCCCAGUGCUUUGGGAGGCUGAGGUGGGAGGAUCACUUGAGGCCAGGAGCUCAAGAUCAGUCUAGGCAACAUAGCAAGACCCUAUCACUACAUAAAAUUAGUUGGGUGUGGUGCCACGUGUCUGUAGACCUGACUACUUGCAGGGCUGAGGCAGGAUCACCUGUGCCCAGGGAUCAAGGUUACAGUGAGCUAUGAUCAUGCCACUGCACUCCAGCCUGAGUAACAGAGCAAAACCCUGUUUUUUUUAAAAAGAAAAGAUAAAAAGACAAGAAAAUGACAGAACCAAAUUGGUAAUGUUGUUUUUGUCAAAAUUACCAUUUAUGUGAACAUUGCCAUUUUGCCAAAUUGGUAAUGUUUUUAAGAUAAGGGUUAGAGUAGGAGAAACAGUUUUUGCCAGAGGAGGAUAAAAGUGAAGAUAAAAUGAAUUUGAACAUGUAAAACUUAAUGACUGAAGGACAUAUUUCCAGGGCCAGGAUAAUUUACUUAAUAACAGGAAGGCAAUAAUAGAUCUUUAAACCUAGAGUUUAAAGAAUUCUAGGAUAGAGGCUACUUUCUAUUUAGCAAUAAAUUUAAAAAUUUUUUGGAAAAAUAUUAACAUUUUAGCAUCAUUUCAUGAGUCCUUUCAGUAAUUUUAUUUUCUCAUUUGUAAAUUCUCUGUGUAUUCCUUAAAGUUGGCCAUUAUGACUUCUAAUCAUAUUAGGAAUAAUGUCAAUAAGAUGUCAGAAGAUGCCCAGAUAUUGCUCCCCCACAGAAACACUGACUUAACAACAAUACAUAGCCCAAAAAGCCUUUAUGACAAUGGUAGAAAUCAGUUAGAAAGUUGAUGUGCACCAGGCAAGCACAAAGCCAAGAAGAGCCCCAUUGAAAUGGGAAGGAGAAGCAAGCUCCUUCUCUAAGCUGUUAUACUACAUAAUCCGAAUGAAAAGCCCCAAUGUACAGCUUCUCCUUUGUAGGGAAAGAAGAGAUUGGUAUGUAUGUCCAAGUUCCAGCUUUUGAGGUGGGAGGAGGGUGCUGCCUGAGAGAUUGGUUUUGAUCUCUCCUAACUUGGAGCAUUAACAGGGAACCAGGAUGCUUUAGAUGCCUGAGAAUGAAGUGCAGUUCAGUGAAUUGUGGCAGCACCAGAGAAACUGAUGUACUGCAGACAGACACACGAGAGAGCAAGAGAUAACAUGUUCCUGAAAAAGAAACUGGCAAACCUCUUUCACUAUAAAAUUACAUGUAUAAGUUCAGAGAGAAGAUGCAUUCCCAUAAAUGGCUUGUGAAGCCACUAGAAUCUCUAUACAGGCUGAUUUGUGAAGGUUUUCCCUGUACAAAAUCAGUGCACAAAGAUUGGGAGAAGUGACUGCGUUUCAAAUGCCAAAAUUACAAUAAAAAAUUAGGCACAUGAAGAAAUAAGAAAACAUGGUUAAUUCAAAUGAAUAAAGCCAAUUUUCAAACACCAAUUCUAAGAAACAACAAAGAUCUGUGAAAGUAGCUAACAAGGAAUUAAAAAUAAUUAUCUAAAGAACAUCGGUGUGCUUUCAGAGAAGACAGAAAACUAAAAAAAAUCAGAAAAAUGAUGCAUGAACAAAUUAAGAGUAUCAUUAAAUAGAUUUUAAAAACAAGAAAAAUAAUGAAACAGAACCAAACAAAUUAUGGAGCUGACAAAUAAAAUAACUGAAUUGAAAAAUUCACUAGAAUGGAUGAAAGUAGACUUGAUCAAGAAGAAGAAAGAGUCAGUGACUUCAAAGACAUUGAAAUUUUAAAGAACAAAAGAACAAACAACAAAGAAUAAAAGAAUAACAAAAAGUGUUGAAAGCCUAAGGAACUUACAAGACCCCAUCAAGCAGAGCAAUAUAUACAUUAUAAAAGUCUCAGAAGAAGAAGAGAAAGAGAAUGGGACAGGUAGAUUAUCUAAAGAAAUAAUAGCUAAACACUUCCCAAAUCUGAGAAAGAAAAUGGUUUUCCAAAUUCAAAAAGCUCAAGGAACUAUAAUGUUGAUAAAUGUAAAAAGGCUGACACUAAGAAACAUUAUAAACUGUCAAAAGAAAAAUGAAAAAAAGAGGGUCUUAAAAGCAGUGAGAGAAAAGUAACUCAUUAUAUACAAGGGAACUUCCAUAAGUUUAUAAAUGGAUCUCUCAGCAGAAACAACUGCAUUACAAAAGAAGAAAGAUCUCAAAUCACCAAUCAAAAUUUACACUAUAAGUAACUAGAAAAAGAAGAUCAAACUAAACCUACAGUUAGCAGAGGGAAGGAAAUAAUAAAGGGUAGAGAAGAGAUUAAUAAAAUAGAGAAGAGAAAAAAAGUCAACAAAACUGAGUUCAUUAUUUGAAAAGAUCAAUAAAAUUGACAAGCUAAUCUCAAAAUCUUCAAAAAAAUAGAAGGGUGGGGAACACUGCCUCUUGAGGCAAAAACCCUCAACAAAAUACUAGCAAACCAAUAUAAAACACAUUAGAAAGAUUAUACAUCAUGACUAAGUGGAAUUUAUUUCUGUAAGGCAGAGAUGGUUCAACAUAUGAAAAUCAAUCAAUGUAAUAUACUGCAUUAACAGAAUGAAGAACAAAAACCAUAUGAUCAUCUCAAUUGAUGCGGAAAAAGCAUUUUGCAAAACUCCAAAGACUUUCAUCAUAAAAACACUCAACAUGCACAUAUACUAACGGGAGUGACAUCCACAUAAUAAAGGCCAUAUAUGAAAAGCCUACAGCCAACAUCAUGCCAAUGGUGAAAAACUGAAAACUUUUUGUCUAAGAUAAGAAGCAAGGCAAGAAUACCCACUCUUGUCACUUCCCUUCAACACAGCACUGGAAUAUCUAGCCAGAACAAUCAGACAAGAAAAAGAAAUAAACAGAAUCCAAACACAAAAGGACUAAGUAAAAUUAUCUAUGUUUACAGAUAACAUGAUAUUGUAUGUAGAACACCCUAAUGAUUCUUUAGAAAAAAAACCUGUCAGAACUAAUAAACAUAUUCAGCAAAGUUGAGGAAUACAAAAUCAACAUGCAAAAAUCAGUUGCAUUUCUCCCAUUCAAGUACUAACCAGGCCUGCCCUUGCUUAGCUUCUGAAAUCAGAUGAGAUUGGGUAAGUUCAGGGUGAUAUGGCUGUAGACAGUCAGUUUCAUUACUAUACAUUAACAAUAAACAGUCUGAAAAUAAUUUAAGAAAAAAUGUGAUUUUCAAUAGCAUCAAAAAGAAUAUUUAGGAGUAAGCUUAAGCCAAGAUUAAAAAACUUGUACACUGAAAGCUAUAAAAUGGUGCUGAAAGAAAUUAACAAAGACAAAAACAAAUGGAAACAUGUCAUGUUCAUGGAUUGUAAGACUUAUAUUGUUAAAAUAUCCACCCUACUCAGACCAAACAAUGAAUUCAAUGCAAUCAGUAUCAAAAUCCUAAUGGCAUAUUUUUUUGUAGAAAUUUUAAAAAAUUCUAAAAUUAAUAUGGAAUCUCAAAGGACAAUGAUGAAGUGAUCUUCCACAAAGGCACCAAGGCUACACAAGAGAGAAAAGACAGUCUCUUCAGCAAAUGAUUAUGGGAAAACUGUGUAUCUAUAUGCAAAAGAAUGAAAUUGAACCCUUACCUUAUACCAUAUACAAAACUUAAAAUUGAUGGAAGAUCGAAAUGUAAGAUCCAAAACUAUGAAACUCCCAAAAGAAAACAAAGGAAAAAAAUCUUCAUUACAUUGGACUUUUUAAUGAUUUCUUGGAUUUGACACCAAAACAUAAGCAAUAAUAGCAAAAAUAGAUAAAUGGGACUAAUCUAGCUUGAAUACUUCUGCACAGCAAAGAAAACAAUCAACAGAGUGAACAGGUAACUUAUGAAAUAGGAGAAAAUAUUUGCAAACUAUAUAUCUCAUAAGGGAUUAAUAUACAGAAUGCACAAAAAAAAAAAAAAAAACUCCCACAACUCAACAGGAAAAAGUAAAACAGCCCAAUUUAAAAAGGGGCAAAAGAAUAGAUAUUUCUCCAAAGAACAUACACAAAUAGCCAACAAGCAUAUGAAAAGAUAUAUAUAUAUAUUUUUUUUUUUUGAGACGGAGUUUUGCUCUUGUUACCCAGGCUGGAGUGCAAUGGCACGAUCUCCGCUCACCGCAACCUCCGUCUCCUGGGUUCAGGCAAUUCUCCUGCCUCAGCCUCCUGAGUAGCUGGGACUACAGGCACACAUCACCAUGCCCAGCUAAUGUUUUGUAUUUUUAGUAGAGACAGGGUUUCACUAUGUUGACCAGGAUGGUCUCGAUCUCUUGACCUCGUGAUCCACCCGCCUCGGCCUCCCAAAGUGCUGGGAUUACAGGCUUGAGCCACCACGCCUGGCCAUGAAAAGAUGUUAACCUCACUUAUCAUUAGGGAAAUGCAAAUCAAAUCCACAAUAUGAUGUCACCUCACACCAGUUAAGAUGGCCACUAUCAAAAUACCAGAAAAUAACAAGCAUUGGUGAAGCCAUGGAGAAAUUGGAAUACCUGCACACUGUUGGUGAGAAUGUAAAAUAGUAUAACUAUUAUGGAAAAAAGUACGGAAAUUCCUCAAAAAAUUAACAAUAGAAUUAUCAUAUGACCCAGCAAUCCCUCUUCUAGGUACAUACACAAAAGUAUUGAAAACAGGAACUCAGAAACAUAUUUGUGUGCCAACAUUCAUUGCAACAUUAUUCACAAUAGCCAAGAAGUGGAAGCAACAUUAAUGUCUACCAACAGUUGAACAGAGAGGAGCAAGUCACAUCUUACAUGAAUGGUGGCAGGCAAAGAGAGAGCUUGUGCAGGGAAACCCUUAUUUUGAAAACCAUCAGAUCCCAUGAGACUUAUUCACUAUCACAAGAACAGCAUGGGAAAGACUCGCCCCAGGAUUCAAUUACUUCCCAACUGGUCCCUCCCACAGCAAGUGACAACUACAGGAGCUACAAGAUGAGAUUUGGGUGGGAACGCAGAUCCAAAUCAUAUCAUUAGCCUAAAGAAUGAAGGAAUAAUCCUGUUGAGAUAUACAACAUGGAGGACAUUAUGUUGACUGAAAUAAGCUAGUCACAAAAAGACAAAUGCCACAUGCUCCCACUUAUAUAAAGUAUCUAAAACAGUCAAAUUUUUAGAAACAGAUAAUAGAAUGGUGAUUUCUAGGAACAAGAGGCGGGGAGAAAUAGAGAGUUAUUGUUUAAUGGGCAUAAGAUUUCAGUUUUACAAGAUGAGAAGAGUUCUGGAUAUGGAUGAUGGUGAUAUUUGUACAACAUUCUGAAAGUACUUAGUACCACUGAACUGUACACUUAAAAAUGAUUGUAAUCAUAAAUUUUCUACUAUAUUUUGACCACAUUAAAAUCAUUUUGAAUACAGUAUAUUUUAAUCUUGCCUGUGGUGGGUUAUAUAAUACAAUUAAUUUUCUAUCUGUUCCUCUCAAUUAUUGCCAGCAUCAUGUCAGCUUCUUUUGUAGAAAAGUGAUUAUUGAGCAUAUCUUCUCUUCACAGUACCCUUUCACUUCUCAUGAAGUCUAUUUGAUUAUAUUCCAGACUCUUUAAAUAAAUUAUUCUGAAAUGA